UUGAAGACACUUAUCUUUACAAAUAUUUUUUAUGUCUUGAGAUAGAAAAUAGAUAUCUUGAUACUUUGUUGAUGUCUAAGGACUUGCUUUAUUGGUAUAUCAUCAGUGUAUUUUGAAGAUAAAAUGCAGUAUAAAUAGAAUAUGACAGAAAAUUAACAUUAUCAUUCUAUUAAUUUGUAGAUUUGUAUAAUUGUAAAAACUUGUCACGUAGAUGUAUAUUCAUAUGUUUUUUGUUUAAUGUCUCACCCAGAGCCCAGAACUGUAUUUUCGGAGAAGUGUAACUGCACAGUGAAUCAAAUUUUCAAGAAAUAGCACAGAACUGUAUUUUCGGAGAAGUGUAACUGCCCGGUGAAUCAAAUUUUCAGGAAAUGACACAUAACUGUAUUUUCGGAGAAGUGUAACUGCCCGGUGAAUCAAAUUUUCAGGAAAUGGCACAUAACUGUAUUUUCGGAGAAGUGUAACUGCACGGUGAAUCGAAUUUUCAAGAAAUAGCCCGGCACUGUACUUUCUGAGAAGUGUAACUGCACGGUGAAUCGAAUUUUCAAGAAAUAUUCCACAUUUGGUUGAUGAUCACAGUGUGUCAAUCAAAUAUUUCAAGACUGUGUAGAUUUCUUGUGUUUUGCAUCAGAACUUCAUGAAGUCUGGGCAUUGACACCACCUCUUUUUCGGUACAUGUCAUAUAUUGUCCGUUUCACCACAUUCCUGUUAAAUUCAUCCAGCUUCCAAGGCUUUGGACCAGACUUCCGUACACAAGACUUAUGGACUGCCUUUACAACAUCCUGCACUGGAUCAAGGGCCUCUAUCUUCCUCCUGAGAGUACUAAGGCUUAUUCCUAAAAAUAGAGAGAAAUGUCAACAUUAAAUUGUUUUGUGUUAAAUAUGUGCAUUUUAAGUAUCAACCAAGUAUGAGAGUAUUAAUGUUUUCAGCAGAUUUCAUAAUUGUAUAGAAAUAUGUAUACAUUUUCUAGUACAAUGUUAUGUUGUAUGUGACUUGUGUAAUGCUGUCCCUGGUAAAGAAGAUACAUUUUUAUUUAGAUUUUAAAUCUUUUUUAUUUUGUGCAAUUAUAGAACAAUAAACAUCAUAUAUUGAACACCACAAUUGGGAUAUUGAAAAUAGAUUUCUAUUUAAAGAAUUUAUGCAUAUUAUUUUAUUUAACAUUUUUGAACUUAAAGCAAUAUUACAAUACAUGUGUAAAUAAUUUUAUUUUUUAUACACUUGUCUAAGGCGUGAAAUAUGAUGGUAUAACAUUGUUCGUCUAUUGUCAACACUUCGUAAAAUAACUCAAAACCUCCUUUUCAUGAAACUUUGGUGAAUUGUUUAUAUAUAUUGAAGCAAGCUCCCGUUUGAAUUUAUAAAUUAAAGAUCUUAUUUUUCUGAGUUAUGGGAUUUUAUUUAUUAAGAAUAGGGGGUUUUCCAGUUUUAUGACUAUAACUCAUAAAAUACUAGCAGUGAUUUUCAAGUUUUCAGAAAAUGAACAAAAAAUGCAUUGAGCAGUUUUCGUGAAACUUUGGUGACAAGUUUAUAUCUUUUGAAAUAAGCUAGUUUUUUUUUAUAUAAAUUUCUAAUAUGACAUUGCAUAGUUAUGGAAUUUUGUUUGUUGAAAAAUUGUCGAAAAUUAUUUUUAGUUUAAUAUAAAUCCAUUUAAAACAUUAAGGCCAGCAGAAAGGGGAUUGGUGUAUCAUGCGCUCGUGGCGCAGCUCUUUAUUUAAUCUGCAUUGUUAGGAGUUAAACGUUUUAUUUUUCUAGUAUAAUUUCUGAAACUUUAAGGUAAAAUAAGGAUAGAUGAAUUUGUAGUCUUUUUAAAAUUACAAUAGUACCUCAAUAAUUCUAUGUUAAUUAACUGGUUCAUGAAAUGAAAUGUCAUUUUGAAUCAAAAUUUUUACCAUUUUUCUAGGAGUUUGGGGUAAUAAUUUCAUAGCUUCAGUCACAACUCUUGCUGUUGAAAUCAAGAAUUAUGAUUUACCAAUUUCUUUACCAGACAAAUUUACACUACCUGUUGCCUUCACCAUGCGUGACCAAGGAUCACUCAAACACCAUGGCUUUCCUUUCUUCUUUUCCAUAGUGAAAAAUUUGAACAUCUUUUCAAGGCGGUGGGACACCUGUGAAGAAAUGGCAAAGAUAUUUUAUAAUUUGAUAAUUUCAGUUGCUAUGAUAUAUAGCGUUGUGAAAUUUUUUUUUAUCAAUUUCAUGAAAAAGUUUUAAUCGGAAGUAUACAGUUAAUAUUUUCUAUAUUAUGGUUUACACUUAAUUUUUAGCAGACCAUGAUAAUUACUAGUUUUUUUCUUGCUUGGUUUGUUAGAUUCCUGGCUAAAUGACAUUUACCCUAUACCUGCACUAAUUUAUAUGAAUUGUAUAGUAUAAUUUUUAUAUUAUCUUGCAUCUUAUGUGUAUGUUUUAUAUGUCUUAAUAUUGUAUGUGUUGUUAUUGUUAUUAAUGUCAGCAAAAUCUAUACAGAGCUUAUGUUUGUAAUGUUUCAUGUAAACCGUACAUGAAAUGAAAUUUUCUGUUCUAUUCUUUUCUAAUUCUAUUCAUGAAAUGUUAGUUUUUGAUCACUUGACUAGUCUGCUAGUUUGAAUGAAAAAUUCUCCUUAAAAAUUAAUAAAUGUACCAGUAGCA